AAGUCGUAACAAGGUCUCCGUUGGUGAACCAGCGGAGGGAUCAUUACUGAGUUUACGCUCUAUAACCCUUUGUGAACUUUAUAAACCUGUUGCUUCGGCGGCGCGCCUCCGGGCGUGCCCGCCGGUGUUCAGAAUCUCUUGUUUCUCCAUGAGUUACCUCUGAGUGUUCCAAAGCGAACUGUUAAAACUUUCAACAACGGAUCUCUUGGCUCUA
rnacentral:misc_RNA from 1 species